rnacentral:rRNA from 1 species
UACAGAGGGUGCGAGCGUUAAUCGGAAUUACUGGGCGUAAAGCGUGCGUAGACGGCUAUCUAAGUCGGGUGUGAAAGCCCCGGGCUCAACCGGGGAACUGCGUCUGAUACUGGAUGGCUUGAAUCCGGGAGAGGGAUGCGGAAUUCCAGGUGUAGCGGUGAAAUGCGUAGAUAUCUGGAGGAACACCGGUGGCGAAGGCGCAUCCUGGACCGGGCAUUGACGCUGAGGAGCGAAAGCCAGGGGAGCAAACGGGG